GCGCCGCCCUUUUUUUUUUUUUUUUUUUUUUUUUUUUUUGUUGUUUUUUUUUGUUUUUGGUCGGGGGAAAUGGGCGGGGGUGACCUGUACAUGCAAGUCGAGCGAACAGACGAGGAGCUUGCUUUUUUGACGUUAGCGGCGGACGGGUGAGUGAUACGUGUGAUACCCCUACCUAUUAGAGGUUGGAUAAUUUUUGGAAACCGGAGCUAUUCCCGGAUAAUAUUUUGAACCGCCUGGUUUAAUAGUGAAAGGCGGUUUUGUCUGUCACUUUAUAGAUGGUUCCGCGCCGCCAUUAGUUAGUUGGUAAGGUAACGGUUUCCCAAGGCAACGAUGGGUAGCCGACCUGAGAGGGUGAUUGGCCACACUGGAAUUGAGACCCGGUCCAGAUUCCUACGGGAGGCAGCAGUAGGGAAUCUUCCGCAAUGGGCGAAAGCCUGACGGAGCAACGCCGCGUGAGUGAUGAAGGUCUUCGGAUCGUAAAACUCUGUUAUUAGGGAAGAACAAAUGUGUAAGUAACUAUGCACGUCUUGACGGUACCUAAUCAGAAAGCCACGGCUAACUACGUGCCAGCAGCCGCGGUAAUACGUAGGUGGCAAGCGUUAUCCGGAAUUAUUGGGCGUAAAGCGCGCGUAGGCGGUUUUUUAAGUCUGAUGUGAAAGCCCACGGCUCAACCGUGGAGGGUCAUUGGAAACUGGAAAACUUGAGUGCAGAAGAGGAAAGUGGAAUUCCAUGUGUAGCGGUGAAAUGCGCAGAGAUAUGGAGGAACACCAGUGGCGAAGGCGACUUUCUGGUCUGUAACUGACGCUGAUGUGCGAAAGCGUGGGGAUCAAACAGGAUUAGAUACCCUGGUAGUCCACGCCGUAAACGAUGAGUGCUAAGUGUUAGGGGGUUUCCGCCCCUUAGUGCUGCAGCUAACGCAUUAAGCACUCCGCCUGGGGAGUACGACCGCAAGGUUGAAACUCAAAGGAAUUGACGGGGACCCGCACAAGCGGUGGAGCAUGUGGUUUAAUUCGAAGCAACGCGAAAGAACCUUACCAAAUCUUGACAUCCUCUGAACCCCUCUAGAAGAUAGAGUUUUCCCCUUCGGGGGACAGAGUGAACAGGUGGUGCAUGGUUGUCGUCAGCCUCCGUGUCCGUGAGAUGUUGGGUUAAUUCCCGCAACGAGCGCCACCCUUAAGCUUUAUUUCGCCUUCUUUUAUUUUGGGGCCCUUUUAAUUUUUUACUGGCCGGGUGACAAACCCGGAGGAAAGGGGUGGGGAGUGACUUCAAAAUUUUCAUGCCCCUUAUGAUUUGGGCUACACACGUGCUACAAUGGACAAUACAAAGGGCAGCGAAACCGCGAGGUCAAGCAAAUCCCAUAAAGUUGUUCUCAGUUCGGAUUGUAGUCUGCAACUCGACUAUAUGAAGCUGGAAUCGCUAGUAAUCGUAGAUCAGCAUGCUACGGUGAAUACGUUCCCGGGUCUUGUACACACCGCCCGUCACACCACGAGAGUUUGUAACACCCGAAGCCGGUGGAGUAACCAUUUGGAGCUAGCCGUCGAAGGUGACAUUG
rnacentral:rRNA from 1 species